rnacentral:rRNA from 1 species
AACUGAAGAGUUUGAUCAUGGCUCAGAUUGAACGCUGGCGGCAGGCUUAACACAUGCAAGUCGAGCGGGGGAAGGUAGCUUGCUACUGGACCUAGCGGCGGACGGGUGAGUAAUGCUUAGGAAUCUGCCUAUUAGUGGGGGACAACAUCUCGAAAGGGAUGCUAAUACCGCAUACGUC